rnacentral:sRNA from 1 species
CGUAGGCAACGACCCGAAGGGCGAAGCGCGCAGCGCUGAGUCAUCCUUCCCCCACCACCA